CAUGAGUUGCAAAACUCCCCAACCCUUGCUGAACCUACCUACUGUUGCUUCGGCGGGGGAGGCCUCCGGGCCUCGCGCCACCCUCCUCGUGGGGGACGGCAGCCCCGCCGGAGGCAGUCCUAAACUCUUAGUCAUUACAUGGCCUCUCUGAGUAGCUAUACAAAUUAAGUCA
rnacentral:misc_RNA from 1 species